GGCUCAAAUACACUCAACAAAAAUAUAAACACAAAAAGAGUGUCCUUUUAUGGUGGCCAAUCUAAGGCACACCUGUGCACUAAUCAUGGUGUCUAAUCAGCAUCUUGAUAUGGCACACCUGUGAGGUGGGAUGGAUUAUCUCAGCAAAGGAGAAGUGCUCACUGUCACAGAUUUAGACAGAUUUGUGAACAAUAUUUGAGAGAAAUGAUGAUAUUGUGUAUGUGGAAAAAGUUUCAGAUCUUUGAGUUCAUCUCAUAAAAAAUGGGAGCAAAAACAAAAGUAUUGCGUUUGUAUUUUUGUUGAGUAUUUAUAUUAAUGUUAUCAUCUCUACUAUUGCUUAGGAAUCAAUAUCUGCUAAAUGCUCCACGAUGUGGCCUUUUGCUAACUUUUGCUCACACUUCUGGUUCUCGGUUUUGAAUUUUCAGAGAUUUUGUCUUGAGAAACCCGCCUGCUGCUGCUGAAAGUUCCCUAAAGCUGUAAAUGUUUCACUGAUGAAGCCGAAACAAUGAGCUGACAGAUUAUCUAAAACUUUGCAGUUGUGUUUUUAGACUCCAGAGUUACUUUUAAGAGGGAAAUGCUUCAACAGAUUGGCUGGGACUGCUCGAAAAAAAAGUAUUUUUCACAAAUUCCUGCCUUCGCAUGUGUCUGCCUGCUUAUUAAAAUGAGAGAAUUUGGUUUCAUCAAAAAUUAAUUCAGCACUUUAACAGUCAAGGAAACUCUAGAACAGUGUUUUAUCCUUGCUGGUCUCCUCCUCGGGCCCUCCACUGCUCUCUGUCUUCAGACUCAUCCUCUAUUGAAUCACUUUAAACCAAAAAAACAAUAUUUCAUUGCUCUCUAGACUUCUGGAGCGUUUGCUUAAUGAACUGGAUCUAAAAAGUACAUGUAGUUCCUCUGUUUCUGACCCUUGAAAUGCAAAACACCAGAUUGUUUGACACCGUCCAGGCAGCUCCAGAUGUUAGACUUUCACUCUGACAGAAAGAGUCACGUCGUCCCGUUGUGAAGUUGUUUCCAUUCGCUCGUCUUUCUGGUGGGAGAUAUCGAGGCUUUUAUUUCCCCCUGCCUUCGAUGACCUCCACUCUCUAUUCUUUACUUUGAAUCAAAAGCCUCUUUGAAAAGCAGGAAACAGAAAAAAAAAAAAACACCAAAAAACUCCAACCUGCCACCCGCAGCUCUGACAUCACUUCACUGGUUUUAGAUGUAACAGAGUUUUUCGCCUCCCGUGAACCUGAGUGUAACUUUAGAUCUCUGAUUAAUCCGGAGUGCGGAAUUAGCACCAAAGGAUGGAUCUCAGUGACCAAGGUUGUUUGUCUAUGAAGGCUGCACGUUGGCAAAAACACAAAGCAGAGAGAAGUUGACUUUGAAGCGAAAACUUGCACAGAAUUAUGAACAAGAUGGGCUCCAAGUGAACAUAACACACUUAGUUCACUUGUCAACAGCCAGACUUUAAUACUAAAGAUUACAGAGUUCAGCUUUGUUGUGGCACUUCAAUACUUCAAUAUAGUGGUAGGUUUUCCACAAUCAGAAUAUUAUAUGCACUAAAGUUUGGGUUGACUUAGGAAUGUUGUCCUUUUUGAAAGAAAAGCAGUUGUUUUUUUGCAAUGAAGAUAACGUUAAAUACACAAGAAAAGUACUCAAAGAGCGCUGUACUCCACCAAGACUGAUCAGUCGUGUCAUUUCCGACGGGUGGAAUCUUGUAAAAAUUUGUGGCAGAAAUCUCGGCAACAGAGAGUGUAUCCAUUUAAUAUAGAUGUACCCACAAACAAAAUGACCUUGCACUGAGCACAGGCAUGUGUUAUGCAUGUGUACGUUGUGUACGGAUACCGAAUCGUGUGACCUGAAUUUAUAGCGGGUGGCGGGAAUUGAUGAGACUCAGAAACUCCCCCACAAUUUAAUCAAUUGUUCCUUGUAUCAUUUUUGACAAACAAGUCCCAAUAAGUCUGCAACGCAACGGUGGGCUUGUAGUAGGACCUUAGUAGGUCCUUGUGUCAUUUCUCACCCCCCCUGAAAAUUUCAUCCAAAUGUGGUAGUCCAUUUUUGAAUAAUGUUGCAAACAGACAGACAGACAGACAAACCAACGCCAAUUGCCACAUAACUCUGCUGAGGCUCCACCUCUUUGGUGGAGUAAUCAGAAAUACAGUGUAGACAUUGUUAAUGUGGUAAAUGACUAUUCUAGAUGGAAACAGCUGAUUUUUAAUGGAAUAUCUCCAUAGAGGUACAAAGGAACAUUUCCAGCAACCAUCACUCCUGUGUUCUAAUGCUACAUUGUGUUAGCUAAUGGUGUUGAAAGGCUCAUUGAUGAUUAGAAAACCCUUGUGCAGUUAUGUUAGCACAUGGAUAAAAGUGUGAGUUUUCAUGGAAAAUAACACUUACAAAUAGAGGUGACUAUGAUGAUUUAAUUUGACUGAACGGCUCAAAUUAUUAAUUUAUUACCGGUUAAUCUUCUGUCUAGCAUAUCUUGAUUCAGGAUCAUUUCUUUCUGUUAAUUGCUUCGUGUUUUUCUGCUCUUAAAAGGUGCUGAUAUUUCAGUUUUAUUGCAAAAUCUAACUUUAGGUAUUAAAAAUGAACCAAACAAGAUGUUAAAUAAAUACUUUGGGAAUUCUGUGGCUCCCUGUUGCCCAAAAAGAAUCCAUUUGCAGAAUUUUUCUUCACUAUAAUUUGACACUUACUUUACACCUCACACAGCAAUAUGGAGCCGCUGUGGCCUCAGCAUAAGGAAGUGACAGCUAAUUAAUACGGCGCUGAAGUGAAUUAAUACGGUCCCUGAAUGCACCGAACUUACUUCUAACUGUUUGGUUCAGUUUUAACACAUCAGAGUAGAAAAGUUCAGAGUGUCAUCGUCCUUUAGCGCCUGGUUAAAAACACUGUAGGAGGUGAAAUCAAAGUAAACACACCUGAACUGGCGAAGCCCUCUGAGAUGAACCUGAGCUAUUUCACCACACAAAGAAAACUGAAAGACGUUUUACUGGAGAAUCCUUGACAUCAGCUGGUUUUGAAAGGCAGAGCUUUGAGGCUUUGAUUUUUCGGUAAACAACAUAUGUGACCCCGAUCGAUGGAGCCGUCUCACCUCUGUGGACCCUGAUGUGUCCGAGGAUCGACACCGACACCUGAGGAAACCUCGUCGUAUAGAUUUGUUUUUUUAAAUAACAGGUUUUUAUAAAAAGGGAUUUCAUGGCUGGAAUAAAAAUUGGAGGAGAAAACAUCACAUCUGACCACACAGAGAGAAAGUUUUCAGUUAAAAUCUGACAGAACCUCCAUUGACCAUUAUUUUAAAAUGCUACAGUGAGGUCCACAUUCAAAACGUGUCAGAAAACACAUCAGAUAUUAAUAUUAUUUUUACUUUUUAUGGACAUCAUCAGUCCCAAUCCCAUCUAUCAUAUUUUCAUUCAUUUUCAGGAUUUUAACCCUUUAAAUGCCAGUUUGUUUACAUGAUGUCAUAGUUGUUUUUAUGGAAAAAAAAUAUAAUAAUACUAGAAAAAUUAUUCAUUUUCAACAUAGUAAGAGCUGAAUGGAGUUUCUGUGUUGAUAAUCACAGUCUGCGAGGUGUCGACACUGAUUCUGAUGCGUAAAUACUUUUUAUGUCAUUUGACAUUUGAAGAAGCUUACACUGAGGUGCUUAAGACAAAAAUAUCCCAAAUAAAACCCAUUACAACUCC